AGCUGCCGGAGACAGCUUCCCUCCAUCUUCAACAUCCCUUCACGCUGAGGCAGCGCCUCGAUGCCGGGGGGCACGACGAGUCGGAUACUCCCUCUGCCAACCUGUUGCUUGCGACCGAGGUCCUAACAAUAUGACAUACAAAAAAAUUAGACAAUUGACAACAGUUGGGCAGUCAUGGAACAUUAAAGUGAGAGUUAUAAGAAUAUGGGAAUCAAUUAAUUUUGCAACAGACGAACUUAUGAGCUUAGAUAUGAUUCUUAUGGAUGAACAGGGUGAUACAAUUCGUGCUACUAUUUGGAAGAAUCUUAUUGACAGUUAUAAGCCAAAGAUCAUUGAGGGCUCUAUCUAUGCACUUAGCAAUUUCAAAGUCCAAGAAGAUGCCAGAUAUCGUCCAGUAAAGAAU